rnacentral:rRNA from 1 species
GAUGAACGCUGGCGGCGUGCCUAAUACAUGCAAGUCGAGCGAACAGAUGAGGAGCUUGCUCCUCUGACGUUAGCGGCGGACGGGUGAGUAACACGUGGAUAACCUACCUAUAAGACUGGGAUAACUUCGGGAAACCGGAGCUAAUACCGGAUAAUAUAUUGAACCGCAUGGUUCAAUAGUGAAAGACGGUUUUGCUGUCACUUAUAGAUGGAUCCGCGCCGCAUUAGCUAGUUGGUAAGGUAACGGCUUACCAAGGCAACGAUGCGUAGCCGACCUGAGAGGGUGAUCGGCCACACUGGAACUGAGACACGGUCCAGUCUCCUACGGGAGGCAGCAGUAGGGAAUCUUCCGCAAUGGGCGAAAGCCUGACGGAGCAACGCCGCGUGAGUGAUGAAGGUCUUCGGAUCGUAAAACUCUGUUAUUAGGGAAGAACAAAUGUGUAAGUAACUAUGCACGUCUUGACGGUACCUAACCAGAAAGCCACGGCUAACUACGUG